UUGCUCUCGGGUGACGAGUGGCGGACGGGUGAGUAAUGUCUGGGAAACUGCCUGAUGGAGGGGGAUAACUACUGGAAACGGUAGCUAAUACCGCAUAACGUCGCAAGACCAAAGAGGGGGACCUUCGGGCCUCUUGCCAUCAGAUGUGCCCAGAUGGGAUUAGCUAGUAGGUGGGGUAACGGCUCACCUAGGCGACGAUCCCUAGCUGGUCUGAGAGGAUGACCAGCCACACUGGAACUGAGACACGGUCCAGACUCCUACGGGAGGCAGCAGUGGGGAAUAUUGCACAAUGGGCGCAAGCCUGAUGCAGCCAUGCCGCGUGUAUGAAGAAGGCCUUCGGGUUGUAAAGUACUUUCAGCGGGGAGGAAGGUGUUGAGGUUAAUAACCUCAGCGAUUGACGUUACCCGCAGAAGAAGCACCGGCUAACUCCGUGCCAGCAGCCGCGGUAAUACGGAGGGUGCAAGCGUUAAUCGGAAUUACUGGGCGUAAAGCGCACGCAGGCGGUCUGUCAAGUCGGAUGUGAAAUCCCCGGGCUCAACCUGGGAACUGCAUUCGAAACUGGCAGGCUAGAGUCUUGUAGAGGGGGGUAGAAUUCCAGGUGUAGCGGUGAAAUGCGUAGAGAUCUGGAGGAAUACCGGUGGCGAAGGCGGCCCCCUGGACAAAGACUGACGCUCAGGUGCGAAAGCGUGGGGGAGCA
rnacentral:rRNA from 1 species